rnacentral:rRNA from 1 species
CUGCGAAAGCCGGAUUAAUACCGCAUACGAUCUACGGAUGAAAGCGGGGGACCUUCGGGCCUCGCGCUAUAGGGUUGGCCGAUGGCUGAUUAGCUAGUUGGUGGGGUAAAGGCCUACCAAGGCGACGAUCAGUAGCUGGUCUGAGAGGACGACCAGCCACACUGGGACUGAGACACGGCCCAGACUCCUACGGGAGGCAGCAGUGGGGAAUUUUGGACAAUGGGCGAAAGCCUGAUCCAGCAAUGCCGCGUGUGUGAAGAAGGCCUUCGGGUUGUAAAGCACUUUUGUCCGGAAAGAAAUCCUUGGUUCUAAUAUAACCGGGGGAUGACGGUACCGGAAGAAUAAGCACCGGCUAACUACGUGCCAGCAGCCGCGGUAAUACGUAGGGUGCGAGCGUUAAUCGGAAUUACUGGGCGUAAAGCGUGCGCAGGCGGUUUGCUAAGACCGAUGUGAAAUCCCCGGGCUCAACCUGGGAACUGCAUUGGUGACUGGCAAGCUAGAGUAUGGCA